GAUGAACGCUAGCUACAGGCUUAACACAUGCAAGUCGAGGGGCAGCAUUUCUUUAGCUUGCUAAGGAAGAUGGCGACCGGCGCACGGGUGAGUAACGCGUAUCCAACCUGCCCUUGUCCACGGGAUAACCCGGUGAAAACCGGCCUAAUACCGUAUGAGGUCACAAGCGGACAUCCAACUGUGACGAAAGGUUUAGCGGACAAGGAUGGGGAUGCGUCCGAUUAGCUUGACGGCGGGGUAACGGCCCACCGUGGCGACGAUCGGUAGGGGUUCUGAGAGGAAGGUCCCCCACAUUGGAACUGAGACACGGUCCAAACUCCUACGGGAGGCAGCAGUGAGGAAUAUUGGUCAAUGGACGUGAGUCUGAACCAGCCAAGUAGCGUGCAGGAUGACGGCCCUAUGGGUUGUAAACUGCUUUUGUGCGGGGAUAAAGUGUGGGACGCGUCCCAUAUUGCAGGUACCGCAUGAAUAAGGACCGGCUAAUUCCGUG
rnacentral:rRNA from 1 species